AUGAGGCGAGUGAACGCGUUUUGAGUGAUUGUCGAAAGAAGUGAGAAUAGAUCGGAGUGUAAGGAUGGAAAUUGAGUGAAUAAGGUAAAUGUAAGAUAUGUUACGAG